GUGGACCCGUGAUCCGGGUUGCGGACAGUGUCUGGUGGGUAGUUUGACUGGGGCGGUCUCCUCCUAAAGAGUAACGGAGGAGCACGAAGGUUGGCUAAUCCUGGUCGGACAUCAGGAGGUUAGUGCAAUGGCAUAAGCCAGCUUGACUGCGAGCGUGACGGCGCGAGCAGGUGCGAAAGCAGGUCAUAGUGAUCCGGUGGUUCUGAAUGGAAGGGCCAUCGCUCAACGGAUAAAAGGUACUCCGGGGAUAACAGGCUGAUACCGCCCAAGAGUUCAUAUCGACGGCGGUGUUUGGCACCUCGAUGUCGGCUCAUCACAUCCUGGGGCUGAAGUAGGUCCCAAGGGUAUGGCUGUUCGCCAUUUAAAGUGGUACGCGAGCUGGGUUUAGAACGUCGUGAGACAGUUCGGUCCCUA
rnacentral:rRNA from 1 species